CCAUAACUCCAUAAUGUCGACAUAGGCUGCAAAGAUGUCAACAUGCUCCAUCUUCCCCCAAACUAUGCACACACUUUAUAUUUGGAAAGCGGCCAACAAUAUUAUUGCAGUACUAGCAAAUUAAAGUGCCUUUCUUCUUCCUCGGCUCAUCGAUCCUUUCCCUGAUCUCCACUUUUAUCAAUCGUCUAGGCAGCACCAAUAUAUUCUCACCUCACCAUCACUUCUUAUAUCAUUAACUUGAUCUGAUUUAUUAGCCAGUUCUUCAAAGUAAUUUGCUGGCCCUGGUGCAUGCUAGCUAGCUAGCUAGCAUAUAUGGUUUCAACUGAACUUGACCUUUUCAUAUUCAGUACUUUUCUUCAGCUCCCUGCUAAUGAUCAUAUGAAGUAUGUUAUAUCAUUUGGCUAAUUAGUACAAUAUUAUGGCCUCCGGAUGCUUUUCUAAUAAUCAUAGAUGGUGCUCGAUCGAUCUAGCUUUUGUCAAUUAUCUGAUGCCUGAUUCCUGUGGUCUUAAUUCAUCGGUUUGAGUGAAAACAGGCCGAUUGAGGAAGUGUCCGCUGAUCAGAAGAAACAAUCAUCUCUCUCUCUCUCUCUCUCUCUCUCUCUCUCUCUCUCUCUCUCUCUCUCUCUCUCUCUCUCUCUCUCUCUCUCUCUCCCCAUCGUGAAUUUUUGUCUUGUUGAUCUAUGUCUGACAUGUUUUGCUACUCCAAACAUGCAUGUUUUGUUUGGUUUGAUCAUGCAACUUCAAUUUCAAGACAAAAGAAGGGCUCAAUCUGUUUUUUUACUCUUUUAAUUGAUUUGGUAAUCUAGCUAUAUAUAUAUGCUAGAGAAGAGAAUUCUCAUGCCUUGACAUGAUGCGCCCACAUUUAUGUCAACUUCUUUAUAAGAAAGAUCAUUGUUUAAUCAGCUUCUUGCUAAGGUGGUGUUGUCUACUAUUUUCGCAGUAAACUUUUCUUCACCUAAAAUAUUGGACGGCAUUUGUAAAAGAGCGAUCAAUGUUCUGAUCGAUCUCUUAUAUGCAACGCUACAUAGACUUGGCAACAAAAUUAUUAGCUAUAUUCAAACGGUAUUUCUGCCUUGCACGUUACUUAUAAUUAUUAUUUGACUUCA